rnacentral:pre_miRNA from 1 species
AAUGAUGGCAGUGCAGGCAUUUCCUGAGGAUUAAUGACCAGCUGGGAGGAACCAGUGGCCCUUGGCUCUGCCUCCCAGCCAGCCAUUAAUUCCAAGGAAAUGUCUUUUGCCGAGGUCGUU